GCGGCUACGGAAAGUUUCCCCGGGGAGGGGCGAGGCGGGCUCCACUCCCUCUCCGCCGAAACGACCGGCUCCGGGAAGGAGGGAAGGAAGGAAGGACGGAGGGAAGGAGGGAGGCGGCCACCCAGGCUGCCGCUCUAUGGCCGUGCACAUAAACUACAGCUUUAGUUCCACUGGAGUAAACUGUAUUGGAAGAGUUUCUGGGAAUGAGUGAGAGAACGUCUGGGCUUCAUGUUCUACAAUGAGAGUAUGAAUACGUUAAAAGAAGAUAAAGGAAAAAUCUACCACUUCAUGCAAAGUGGAAUAAAAGCAAGCUUGAGAUGUGUUCCUGCCUUCAUUUUUAGCACACCCAAGUCGAGAGGAAAACCCCAAGGCAAGAAGCAUGCUGACAUUUCAAUAUUCCUUCAGUUCAGCAGUUCAGAGUACAGUCACAGCAAGAAAAGCAACACGUGUAACCAUGAAUAGCUGGAGAUUCAUUUCACUAGAUUUUCCAAGAAUUUGAUUUUAAAUUGAAAGACCAUUGAACUCUUACUGAUCGGGAAUUGAACACUGUAGAGAUCCUUUAAACAACUUCUUGCAUUUAGACAGCAUUGGUAGGAGGGGAGUUCACAGUAGAUAUAAAAGAUUUUUUUUCUGUGAAGCAGUUCCUGAAUUGAUAAAGUUAUCCUGAGAUAUGCAUUUAGGGAAUUUUGUCCAUAAAGACAAUUUAGUUAGUCAAUGGGAACAACCAGAAAGAGUGUAGGAAGCACAGAUGAGUGUUUCUGGAAUUCUUUUUCCCCUACUAAUUCCUGGAUACCACUUCCUGUCCUUGGAAACAAGAAAAACCCGUGUAAAUUGGAGGGAGGCCAUUUUUUGGAGAGAGGAGGACCAGCCCAUACCUCCUCCCAUGGUGUAAAACCCCAGGAAAUUCUACCCAGGUUUUUCUCUCCUUUUCAUGCUUUCCACGCUCCUAAAGCUUUUUGUUCAGCAGCUCCUUGAAGAAUGUGGCAUUUCCUUUGAGCUAAUGAAAUUGCAACAAGCAGCUGUAAGAUUUGGACUGAAUGAGCUGUUUCUCUGUGAGGAAAGAGUGCAGUCUCUUUCUGGGCAAAGGAAUAAACACUGUGAAGAAUAAACAGUGUGAGUUGCUGUAGUCUGAGGAAGGCAGAGCUUUGGGGCAGGCUUGAAGAGUUGCAAUAUAUUGGCACUGGGGAAGAGUAGGAGUGACAGAAAAGAUGCUACAGAAAAGAAGAUGUGAGGGAAGUCUAAAAAUGUUUGAAAAUGAUGCCUUAGGGAAAAUCUGAGUUGCUUCAGUUUUCAGCUGAGAACUGUUGUGUACAGAACUCACUCAGAGAUCAGCUAGUGCAAAGCUCUGAUUCAAAGUGUGAGUUUGCUGUGAGAAAUUUUCCAUCCAUGUCAGGAUUUUGCCAACAUCUUGUAAAAAUGCUGCUUCAUCAGUCCAGACUUCACUGGGAGCUGCAGACAUUUGGCAGAUGUUUGAGUUUCAUUUCACUGUAUCACAGAAUGGUUGGAAGGUAUCUGAAAACCAUAUAGUCCAACUCCCCCUGCCAAGGCAGGGUCACCUAGAGCAGGUGACACGGGAACAUGUCCAGAUAGGUUUUGAAUGAUUCCAGAGAGGGCGACUCCAUGAUCUCCCUCGGCAGCCUGUUCCAGUGCCCUGCCACCCUCAAUGUAAAGAAGUUCUUUCUCAUGUUGAGGUGGAACUUCUUGCGUUUAAUUUAUCACCAUUACUCCUCGUCCUGUCACUGGGCACCACCAAAAAGAGUCUGACACCAUCCACUUCCACAAGUGAGAUAGAGGAAAUUUGAUUACUGUUGCAUCAUCACAUUAUAAACUUUAACUUUGUAUAUUUUAUCAUGUGAAUCUUUUUCUUUUGAAUGGUGCAAUCCUAUGAUCAUACUCAGUGAAAAAAUGCUGAACCCAGUGAAAGUGUAUGUGUGUAUGCAAAGUAAUGAGGUAAAAAAAUAUAGGAUAAGGCCUCCAAUGUUGCUAUACUGCUAAAAAACUCAACAUUGAAUAAUUUAGCAAGAGGUCAUUGACACCAAAACCACCAGAUUGCUUUGCAGUAGCAAUGUAUGAAUAAUGUGAAGCUAUUUCUGGGAGUCAGAAAAAGGAAUAAUUCUGAAACUCAAUUUUUCAUCUAUCUAAAUAGUACAGAUAUCUCCUUGGGAGUUGUCAGCUCAGAAACUACAGUUCUUUAAAUCAGUAUGUUUAACUGGAGUGCACAACUCCAAAAAACCUACCAAAAUAUAUUCUUGCAAGCAUGAGUGUGAAAUACAUAAACCCCCUAGCUGAUGUCAAGUCUUAAGCCUCUUUAAAGCCAGUAUGGAGGUCCUGAUGAUGAGGAUGCUUGUCAUCUAUUCCUGCACGGACAACUGGUGAUUAGAGUAAGGGUUGUGGUAUAACAUUGAAAAAGACAAGAGUGAUACUAUCAUGUAGGAUUAUUUUUCUUUUCCCAUCAAUUGCUAACGAGCAAUGCAGGUCCUUCCUUC